UGUUCACUACAUUUUGAAAAAAAUGCACAACUGGAAAAUGAGAUUUAUGAGCUAAAAAAUAGGGUAUCAGAGUUUAAGCAAGAAAAUAUAGAAUUGAAACAACAACUCCACAAUUUGAGAUAUACCUUAAAAGAAGAUGAGUUGAAGAGAAAAAAUGAUGAUAUGUUACAUGAAAAAAAUAAGAACCCA